UGGGGAAUUUUGGACAAUGGGCGAAAGCCUGAUCCAGCAAUGCCGCGUGUGUGAAGAAGGCCUUCGGGUUGUAAAGCACUUUUGUCCGGAAAGAAAUCCUUGGCUCUAAUACAGUCGGGGGAUGACGGUACCGGAAGAAUAAGCACCGGCUAACUACGUGCCAGCAGCCGCGGUAAUACGUAGGGUGCAAGCGUUAAUCGGAAUUACUGGGCGUAAAGCGUGCGCAGGCGGUUUGCUAAGACCGAUGUGAAAUCCCCGGGCUCAACCUGGGAACUGCAUUGGUGACUGGCAGGCUAGAGUAUGGCAGAGGGGGGUAGAAUUCCACGUGUAACAGUGAAAUGCGUAGAGAUGUGGAGGAAUACCGAUGGCGAAGGCAGCCCCCUGGGCCAAUACUGACGCUCAUGCACGAAAAGCGUGGGGAGCAAACAGGAUUAGAUACCCUGGUAGUCCACGCCCUAAACGAUGUCAACUAGUUGUUGGGGAUUCAUUUCCUUAGUAACGUAGCUAACGCGUGAAGUUGACCGCCUGGGGAGUACGGUCGCAAGAUUAAAACUUAAAUGAAUUGACGG
rnacentral:rRNA from 1 species